rnacentral:tRNA from 1 species
GCCUGGAAAUAUCAGUUGGUAGAGUAUCAGACUUUCAAUAUGAGGGUCCAGGGUUCAACUCCCUGUUUGGGCA